rnacentral:rRNA from 1 species
UACGUAGGGCGCAAGCGUUGUCCGGAAUUAUUGGGCGUAAAGAGCUCGUAGGCGGCCUGUUACGUCUGCUGUGAAAUCCCGGGGCUUAACCCCGGGCGUGCAGUGGAUACGGGCAGGCUGGAGGCAGGCAGGGGAGAACGGAAUUCCCGGUGGUAGCGGUGAAAAUGCGCAGAUAUCGGGAGGAACACCGGUGGCGAAGGCGGUUCUCUGGGCCUGUACUGACGCUGAGGAGCAAAGCGUGGGGAGCGAACAGG